rnacentral:rRNA from 1 species
GAUGAACGCUAGCGGCAAGCCUAACACAUGCAAGUCGAACGGUAACUUUUGGUGCUUGCACCGAAAGACGAGUGGCGAACGGGUGCGUAACGCGUAUGCAAUCUGCCUUUUACUAGGGUAUAGCCCAGAGAAAUUUGGAUUAAUCCCCUAUAAUAUCAUUUUUUCGCAUGAUUAAAUGAUUAAAGCUUCGGCGGUAAAAGAUGAGCAUGCGUCCUAUUAGUUUGUAGGUGAGGUAACGGCUCACCUAGACUACGAUAGGUAGGGGCCCUGAGAGGGGGACCCCCCACACUGGUACUGAGACACGGACCAGACUCCUACGGGAGGCAGCAGUGAGGAAUAUUGGACAAUGGACGAAAGUCUGAUCCAGCUAUGCCGCGUGCAGGAUGACGGCCCUACGGGUUGUAAACUGCUUUUAUACAGGAAGAAACCUUUCCACGUGUGGAAAGCUGACGGUACUGUAAGAAUAAGGAUCGGCUAACUCCGUGCCAGCAGCCGCCGUAAUAC